CUCCCCCCUCUCACUCCAUCCACUCAGGUGUAUCCGUAUCCUUGUUAGCCAUGACCCCGGGGUGCAAAGCCCCAAAAGAAGGCGCCACCGUGACCCUGGCCUGCUUUGUGACGGGGUACAACUUGGCCACCUGGCACAUGGGGAGUAAGAAACUGUUUAUGGAUAAGACCCUGAUCACGCAGAUGGAGAAGAAAGUCACCUACAUCUUCUACCAAAUCAUCGCCUGGAAGCCCGGCCUGCACAGCUGUAGCGCCGGUGGAACAUCCCAGACCCUCCAGUGGCCAGCAUCUGCGGAAACUCAAGCCCCCUCGGUGACCCCUGUGUCACUUUUCUCAGAGAAACUCACCCCAGCGUCCACCACUGCCACAGACCCAGCCCCUCUGGCCGCCUCCCCCGCCGAGGACAGGCAUUCUCCAAAGCCGUCUGGCGACCCAAGCACAACCAGGCUUCUCCCUGCAGCCGCCACGGCACCCAGCGGCCUUGUAGUCCAAGUCCUGUCCACGCCGGGCACCCAUGCUCCUGCCGGGGCAGCCUCCUGGCUCCUGUGCGAGGUGUCCGGCUUCUCACCCCCAAAGCUCCACCUCAGCUGGCAGGAGGGCCAGCACCAGGUGCCCUCCUCUUGGUUUACCACCACGGCCCCCACGGCCCAGCCUGGGAAUAGCACCUUCAGCAUGUGGAGCGUCCUGCGGGUCCCGGCCGCCCCCAACCCUCAGCUGGCCACCUACACGUGUGAGGUCAGGCACCCGGCCUCAGGGAAACUGCUCAGCGGCAGCUGGAGCCUGAACACUGGGGGACUGGUCGCGACACCCGGGGUCCCCCAGAGCGCAUACGAGAACUGUGAUAACUACCCGGACCUGGAGGACGCCGGCCACCUGUGGCCCACGUUCGUGGCCCUCUUCCUCCUCACCCUGCUCUACAGUGGCUUCAUCACCUUCGUCAAGGUUAAGGGCAGGGACCCAGCCCCGCUGGGCGGUGCGGACAAGAUGUCCUUCCAGGAGGCACGCUGGAGCCGGCCAGGGACUGUGCGGAGCCCGGAAAACCUUGCCGGGCGGCGGUGGGCCGUGGGCACCCGCCCUGCCUGAGGCGCCGCCCGGGCCCUCGCAGCUCUUGGAGAGAGGACUGCACACGCCCCCUCGGCCACAG